rnacentral:rRNA from 1 species
UACGUAGGGUGCGAGCGUUGUCCGGAAUUAUUGGGCGUAAAGAGCUUGUAGGCGGUCUGUCGCGUCUGCUGUGAAAAUCCGGGGCUCAACCCCGGACUUGCAGUGGGUACGGGCAGACUAGAGUGUGGUAGGGGAGACUGGAAUUCCUGGUGUAGCGGUGAAAUGCGCAGAUAUCAGGAGGAACACCGAUGGCGAAGGCAGGUCUCUGGGACGUCACUGACACUGAGGCGCGAAAGCGUGGGGAGCGAACAGG